CAUAUUUAUUUCUGAUUGCUCUCUUCUAGCCUACGUUAUCUGUGCGUAUUCAUUUUAACCUCGUCUCUCUCUCCAGCUUUAUGUUCUUAUUUGAGAAUUUCUUUGCUAUGGAAAGGUAAAAAAAAAAAAACAGCAGUAAAGCUCGUCUGAUACUCUCAUCCAACAUACCAAGUCUAGUACGGUUGCGUCGAUACUAGCGUGGGCCAAGAGACCUUCGGUGGUUGGCGAAUCGAUGUCUGCGUGCGCUUUACCCCAAUUCUGACGCGUGCGAGAUACGUUGUCAAAUCCUGCGCGAGUGUGCCGUAUUAGCAUAAUAGUAAAGUUGCUAUGGCAACCAUUAUGUCAAACUAACGUGCACAUAAGCUAAAGACGUGCUGACCUCUGUGGAGAACACGAUUCGGAAGCGAAGCCAGCAAGUCUGGUGGUUGUCUACCGAAAUCUCUAUUCACUGGUAGAAGAAGUGUACUAUUUAUACUAGCCUCUUCUAAACUUCGUUACAUUAUCGCAUAUAACUGAAUUCAGACUGUUAAAGAGAUGCAGAAGUCCACUUAUCUUUACUCAGUUUCUAUCAGUUCAUCGAUUUGGUGUUGUUCUCUCGUCUAUCCCACACAUCAGGCUGGGCUGGUGGAGACAGACUGUCUGAAAAACAAACAGACAGAUGAGAAACGAAGCAAUUCUGCUUUUGAAGGAAGAGAACAGGAAGAGAAACUAUAGAAAUCACUUGAAGAACGAGAACGGGAAGAGAAGCUAUAGAAGUAACUUGAAGAAAGAGAACGGGAAGAGAAGCUAUAGAAAUAACUUGAAGAAAGAGAACGGGAAGAGAAGCUAUAGAAAUCACUUGAAGAAAGAGAACGGAAAGAGAAGCUAUAGAAAUCACUUGAAGAAAGAGAACGGGAAGAGAAGCUAUAGAAAUCACUUGAAGAAAGAGAACGGGAAGAGAAGCUAUAGAAAUCACUUGAAGAAAGAGAACGGGAAGAGAAGCUAUAGAAAUCAUUUGAAGAAAGAGAACGGGAAGAGAAGCUAUAGAAAUCACGAACUUUGCUUAACCUGUCCUCUUUACAGACCUUCAAAACUACAAGCACUAUUAAAAGGCUUCGCAAAUCUUAAAAUUCAGAAGGCAUUAUAGUUGUCUGGCUCACAGUGUGUGAUGGCGAAGACGGAAAACCACAUUGAUUGGACAACCUGGCUCAGCAGUCCCAUCUAGUGUUGAGCUUACUGCAACCAGCCACAACAACAUCAUUUGCGCAUGUGUGGUUAUGAUAUGCGGCAGCCAUUCUAAGGCCGGCAGCUGUAGAUCGAAAACGAGAAAUCUCUGUGGUCAGACAGUUCAAUUUAUUAUAGUUUGUUUGUUUUAUUUUUUAAUUAAUUUUGAAAUAUGUAAAAACAAAAAAUAUAUACCUAAAGUACUUCUAAAAUUCUCUGUAUACAUCCAGCUUAUCUUAUGUGUAUUUGGAUUUUCAUAAUGCCAUUUUUUUUGCUUCCCUUUUUUCAUUUAUAGUCACAACAUAAGAAUAGAUAAUAUCAUAUUAGAGACAUCUUUGAUAAUUACAGGUUAUUUUGUAAGAAUUAUUUAAAUAUUUCAAGUUAUGAGACUCAAAUAUACUACUAAUUAAAUAUUCAAAAUGUUAAGGAACAUAUAGGGUAAAAAUAAAUAUAUAAAUCGCAAAACAAGAUGUAGUAAUUCUUUAAGCUAUAUUUUAUACCUUAAUUGCCAUAUUUUAUAGUCUACGGACCUCUUCAGUUCAUUAAAUAUUUUAGAAAUAAACAAAAAAUAUUAUACUGCAGUUUACCGAUGAAGAUUUUUAUUGAAUGUAUUUGGCCAAUUUUGUAUUUAAUUUAUGCAAACAAUUUUUUUCCUGGAAGGUUUUUCUACUAAUUUGAAAUUUUUGCAAAAUAAUAAUUAUGUCUUUAAUGCCCCUAUUGGCUCAACGAUAAGUCUGAGAGCUUAUAACGUUCAAAACAGAGUAUCAAUAUCCACGGUGGGCAGAUUGCGUAGCUUUGCGCUUAAAACAGUUCGUUUUUGUUUGUUUGUUUUUUCAGCUCGUAAACUUG
rnacentral:misc_RNA from 1 species